AAUCUGAUGAAAAAAGUAGUGGAAUACAAAAAUGUCUAGAUCCUUAAAACAGACUCAUUAAGGCACCUUGUUACUUGAGUUCCUUAAUGGAAAUGAGUUCAAAAGGUCUUCCACAACAUCUCAUUCACUAAUUUGUAGGUAAAUUAUACCAACAGUCACUAAAUUUGUACUAUUGUCAUUGCAAUUAUAAAAUUUUGAUAUAAUCUCAAUUUAGUCAUCCAACAAUAAUUUGGUUGCAAGUAUGCUUAUAUCACUUUAUUCCUGAAAAAAGCACACGGGAAAUCUUAUGUUGGCAUUCUUGUGGGUUUAGCUAAAAAGAAGAAAGAGACAAAUUAGGGCAUUUCAAAGCCUUUGACCUACACUCCUGGUGUUAUGAAUGCAAACUUGCAUAACAUGUUGAAUCAUAGUCUUCUUGCAGGAAUCAGGUGACAAUAGUUUAAUUGUAACGAAAUUAUAGUUUAAUCACCAAGUUGGAACAAAUUGAUCUUUCAUAACCACAACAAAAAUAAAUACAAAGCUCA
rnacentral:misc_RNA from 1 species